UGGGGAAUCUUGGACAAUGGGCGCAAGCCUGAUCCAGCCAUGCCGCGUGAGUGAUGAAGGCCCUAGGGUCGUAAAGCUCUUUCGCCAGGGAUGAUAAUGACAGUACCUGGUAAAGAAACCCCGGCUAACUCCGUGCCAGCAGCCGCGGUAAUACGGAGGAUGCAAGCGUUAUCCGGAAUCAUUGGGCGUAAAGCGUCCGCAGGUGGCUGCUCAAGUCUGCUGUCAAAGACAGAAGCUCAACUUCUGAAAGGCAGUGGAAACUGGGUAGCUAGAGGCCGGUAGGGGUAGCGGGAAUUCCCAGUGUAGCGGUGAAAUGCGUAGAGAUUGGGAAGAACAUCGGUGGCGAAGGCGCGCUACUGGGCCGGACCUGACACUCAGGGACGAAAGCUAGGGGAGCGAAAGGGAUUAGAUACCCGGUAGUCC
rnacentral:rRNA from 1 species